rnacentral:rRNA from 1 species
CAACCCGUCUCUGUUGCAAAAGAGUGGGAAGAUUUUUAAGUAGAGGUGACAAGCCUAUCGAACUUAGAGAUAGCUGGUUGUUCAGGAAAAGAGUUACAGCUCUACCUUAAGUUUUUCUAAUUAACCUAAAUAAAACCCCAAACUUAAGAGCUAUUCAAGUAAGGCACAGCUUACUUGAAACAGGAUGCAACCUCCAACAUUGGGUAAACAAGAACAAAUAAAACAAAGUGGGCCUAAGAGCAGCCAUCUUACAAAAAGCGUUAAAGCUUAACUUUCAUGCACUCAUAAUUCCAAUGGUUCUUAUUAACCCCUCACUACUACUGAACUAUUUUAUAACCCUAUAAAAGUUAUUAUGCUAGAACUAGUAACAUGAAAUUACUUUUCUCCUCAAUGUAAGCUUGAACCAUAAUGGACCAUCCACUGGUAUUUAACGUAACUGUCCUUAUUAUAGCAACAUACAACUAGAAAACCCUAUAAUUUUCAACGUCAACCUUACACUAGAACAUUAAAGGAAAGAUUAAAAGAAAGAGAAGGAACUCGGCAAACCCCCAGCCCCGCCUGUUUACCAAAAACAUCGCCUCUUGCCUAAUAUAAGAGGUCCAGCCUGCCCAGUGACAUAGUUUAACGGCCGCGGUACCCUAACCGUGCGAAGGUAGCAUAAUCACUUGUUCUCUAAAUAGGGACUAGUAUCAAUGGCAUCACGAGGGCUACACUGUCUCCUCUCUCCAAUCAGUGAAACUGAUCUCCCCGUGAAGAAGCGGGGAUUUUGAUAUAAGACGAGAAGACCCCAUGGAGCUUUAAACUUGACACAUACCUCUACUCAACUACACCAAUUAACCCUAAAAGUCUAUGUGUUAGUUUUAGGUUGGGGGGACCGCGGAGUAUAACUUAACCUCCACGACAAACGGGCCAACGCCCUUAUCCAUGAAACACAAUUCUAAGAAUCAAUAAUCUGAUGUUUUAUGACCCGACAAGUCGAUCAACGAACCAAGUUACCCUGGGGAUAACAGCGCAAUCUA